rnacentral:rRNA from 1 species
GACGAACGCUGGCGGCGUGCUUAACACAUGCAAGUCGAACGGUAAGGCUCCAGCUUGCUGGGGUACACGAGUGGCGAACGGGUGAGUAACACGUGGGUGACCUGCCCUGCACUUCGGGAUAAGCCUGGGAAACUGGGUCUAAUACCGGAUAGGACCGCACCGUGAGGGUGUGGUGGAAAGUUUUUUCGGUGUGGGAUGGGCCCGCGGCCUAUCAGCUUGUUGGUGGGGUAAUGGCCUACCAAGGCGGCGACGGGUAGCCGGCCUGAGAGGGUGGACGGCCACAUUGGGACUGAGACACGGCCCAGACUCCUACGGGAGGCAGCAGUGGGGAAUAUUGCACAAUGGGCGGAAGCCUGAUGCAGCGACGCCGCGUGGGGGAUGACGGCCUUCGGGUUGUAAACUCCUUUCACCAUCGACGAAGGGUUUCUGACGGUAGAUGGAGAAGAAGCACCGGCUAACUACGUGCCAGCAGCCGCGGUAAUACGUAGGGUGCGAGCGUUGUCCGGAAUUACUGGGCGUAAAGAGCUCGUAGGUGGUUUGUCGCGUCGUCUGUGAAAUUCCGGGGCUUAACUCCGGGCGUGCAGGCGAUACGGGCAUAACUUGAGUACUGUAGGGGAGACUGGAAUUCCUGGUGUAGCGGUGAAAUGCGCAGAUAUCAGGAGGAACACCGGUGGCGAAGGCGGGUCUCUGGGCAGUAACUGACGCUGAGGAGCGAAAGCAUGGGGAGCGAACAGGAUUAGAUACCCUGGUAGUCCAUGCCGUAAACGGUGGGCGCUAGGUGUGGGUUUCCUUCUACGGGAUCCGUGCCGUAGCUAACGCAUUAAGCGCCCCGCCUGGGGAGUACGGCCGCAAGGCUAAAACUCAAAGGAAUUGACGGGGGCCCGCACAAGCGGCGGAGCAUGUGGAUUAAUUCGAUGCAACGCGAAGAACCUUACCUGGGCUUGACAUAUACAGGAUCGCGCCAGAGAUGGUGUUUCCCUUGUGGCUUGUAUACAGGUGGUGCAUGGUUGUCGUCAGCUCGUGUCGUGAGAUGUUGGGUUAAGUCCCGCAACGAGCGCAACCCUUGUCUUAUGUUGCCAGCACGUUGUGGUGGGGACUCGUAAGAAACUGCCGGGGUUAACUCGGAGGAAGGUGGGGAUGACGUCAAAUCAUCAUGCCCCUUAUGUCCAGGGCUUCACACAUGCUACAAUGGUCGGUACAGUGGGUUGCCAGUCCGUGAGGGCGAGCUAAUCCCGCAAAGCCGGUCUCAGUUCGGAUCGGGGUCUGCAACUCGACCCCGUGAAGUCGGAGUCGCUAGUAAUCGCAGAUCAGCAACGCUGCGGUGAAUACGUUCCCGGGCCU